AUGCUAUCUUGCUCCUCCACUUCCGGCCCCACAUCGUCCUGCCUACCAGUGCCCCCCAGGCGGCCCUGCUCCCCGCCGUUGCCCCCUCCAGGUUGCCGGUGGCGGAGAUUUAUGUCUGUGCAAACAUCCCUGAAGAAGAAGGCCAUUCUCAAGACCAUGACCACUGAUGGCAAGAUCACGACCUUGAAAAUGGUAGUAGUGAACACCAUUCUUGGUAUCGAAGAGGUCAACAUUGUCAAGGAUGACUUAGUUAUCCGAUUUCAGAAUGCGAGAUGUGAAAUGUUGACAUGUGAUACCAUUACUUCUAUAGAAUUGAGGAUCCACUUACACAUUUCUUCUAACGUGGGUGAUUCUUGA
rnacentral:rRNA from 1 species